CCUACGGGAGGCAGCAGUGGGGAAUAUUGCACAAUGGGGGAAACCCUGAAGCAGCGAAGCCGCGUGAGGGAGGAAGUAGCUCGGUAUGUAAAGCUCUAUCAGCAGGGAAGAAAAUGACGGUACGUGACUAAGAAGCAGCGGCUAACUACGUGCAAGCAGCCGCGGCAAUGUGGAGGGGGCCAUCGUUAUACGGAAUUAGUGGGUGUAAAGGGGGCGUAUACGGUUCAUCAAGUCAGAAGUGAAAACCCCGGGCUCAAACUUGGGACUGCUUUUGAAACUGGGGAGCUUGAGUGCAGGAGAGGUAAGCGGAAUUCGUAGUGUAGCGGUGAAAUGCGUAGAUAUUAGGAGGAACACCAGUGGCGAAGGCGGCUUACUGGACUGUAACUGACGUUGAGGCUCGAAAGCGUGGGGAGCAAACAGGAUUAGAUACCCCUGUAGUC
rnacentral:rRNA from 1 species